UACGGAGGGGGCUAGCGUUGUUCGGAAUUACUGGGCGUAAAGCGUGCGCAGGCGGUUUUGUAAGCCAGAUGUGAAAGCCCCGGGCUCAACCUGGGAAUGGCAUUUGGGACUGCAAGGCUGGAGUUUGGCAGAGGAGACUGGAAUUCCUGGUGUAGCAGUGAAAUGCGUAGAUAUCAGGAGGAACACCGAUGGCGAAGGCAGGUCUCUGGGCUGAAACUGACGCUCAAGCACGAAAGCGUGGGGAGCAAACAGG
rnacentral:rRNA from 1 species